rnacentral:lncRNA from 1 species
GUUUUCCAGAACAUACUAGCAGUUCUGAUGUUUCUUGUCCUGUGUCUUCUCAUAGCUCUUUGUGGUUUUAUGUUGAUCAGUCAGGGUGCCUCAGAAAAUCACCUUUGUAUUCUAGGUUAAAGCUGUCACAGGGCAAAGACAAUGAGCAUUCCUUCCUAGACUGUUAAGGUAUCUGUGAUUUGCAGAAGAGUCAAGCUCAUCAUUGUUUGAUGGCACUUUGUAAGAGGAUGAGAAAACUGAGGGAGCUAAAAUAACUUGCUUGCAGUCACAGGAAGAAGAUCUAGAUCCAGACCGUGCUAUGCAACACAAGAGAGACUUGGAGCAACUACCAAUCAAGGAAUUCUGUCUUGCCUGGACAGAAGUGGGUGGUUGAUACAAACUAGGCUGACAUCCCAUCCAUGUGGUGUUGAGUGGAGCUGGAGAACAGGAGUCUGGUGUCAGACAGAUAUGGGUUGAAUUUGUUCUGGCAUUCUGGGCACAACACUACUCAUUAAAUAAUGAUGCCUUUUCUUUAUGUGGUUCUUUAUCUUUUUUUCAAUUGUAUAUAUACAUACCACCUCAAAUUCAAUUUA